UUCUGGGGAUCAGAUUCUCAAGGAAUUGGCGGAGGCGCACAAGCGGUGGAGUAUGUGGUUUAAUUCGAUGCAACGCGAAGAACCUUACCUGGCCUUGACAUGUCCGGAACCCUGCAGAGAUGCGGGGGUGCCUUCGGGAAUCGGAACACAGGUGCUGCAUGGCUGUCGUCAGCUCAUGUCGUGAGAUGUUGGGUUAAGUCCCGCAACGAGCGCAACCCUUGUCCUUAGUUGCCAGCACGUAAUGGUGGGAACUCUAGGGAGACUGCCGGUGACAAACCGGAGGAAGGUGGGGAUGACGUCAAGUCAUCAUGGCCCUUACGGCCAGGGCUACACACGUACUACAAUGGUGGGGACAGAGGGCAGCGAGACCGCGAGGUGGAGCCAAUCCCAGAAACCCCAUCCCAGUCCGGAUUGCAGACUGCAACUCGACUGCAUGAAGUCGGAAUCGCUAGUAAUCGCAGAUCAGCAUUGCUGCGGUGAAUACGUUCCCGCCCCUUGCACACACCGCCCGAAUCU
rnacentral:rRNA from 1 species